rnacentral:rRNA from 1 species
GAUGAACGCUGGCGGCGUGCCUAAUACAUGCAAGUCGAGCGAACAGACGAGGAGCUUGCUCCACUGACGUUAGCGGCGGACGGGUGAGUAACACGUGGAUAACCUACCUAUAAGACUGGGAUAACUUCGGGAAACCGGAGCUAAUACCGGAUAAUAUAUUUAACCGCAUGGUUCAAUAGUGAAAGACGGUUUUGCUGUCACUUAUAGAUGGAUCCGCGCCGCAUUAGCUAGUUGGUAAGGUAACGGCUUACCAAGGCAACGAUGCGUAGCCGACCGGAGAGGGUGAUCGGCCACACUGGAACUGAGACACGGUCCAGACUCCUACGGGAGGCAGCAGUAGGGAAUCUUCCGCAAUGGGCGAAAGCUUGACGGAGCAACGCCGCGUGAGUGAUGAAGGUCUUCGGAUCGUAAAACUCUGUUAUUAGGGAAGAACAAAUGUGUAAGUAAAUAUGCACGUCUUGACGGUACCUAAUCAGAAAGCCACGGCUAACUACGUG